rnacentral:rRNA from 1 species
UACGAAGGUGGCAAGCGUUGUUCGGAUUUACUGGGCGUACAGGGAGCGUAGGCGGUUGGGUAAGCCCUUCGUGAAAUCUCCGGGCCUAACCCGGAAAGUGCGGAGGGGACUGCUCGGCUAGAGGAUGGGAGAGGAGCGCGGAAUUCCCGGUGUAGCGGUGAAAUGCGUAGAGAUCGGGAGGAAGGCCGGUGGCGAAGGCGGCGCUCUGGAACAUUUCUGACGCUGAGGCUCGAAAGCGUGGGGAGCAAACGGG